rnacentral:lncRNA from 1 species
AUCUCUCACAUCCUUCCCUUGCUCCCACCAAUUUAUUAAUAAUUUAUUUCUAUCAUUUUCACCUCUGCAGUACCUAUCCCAGGUCUAUGAGUUCAAACUCCCCAGGUGACUAUACAAUCCCACAUAUUGAUUUCAGAUUCAGUUUUGUAUAAGCCUCAUUCUGGAACCCCAGAAGUACAACAAGGGCAUUCUCCCCUCCAAAGACACGUAGAGGAGAGUGAGUUAUAGUGGAGGAGCUAGUAUGGUGUUAUCAUUAUUUAAACCAAGAAAAACACAUUGUAGACAAGAUGAAAGAUCCAAUAAAAAUGUGUUCUUAUUCCUGUUUCUAAAACUUUAACAGCUGGGCUUUCCCUUGCGGAAUAAUGUUACAUAAAUAACUCAGCCAGGAAGCAGAGGGGCUGUGAAGAAGUCCAACAAGAUGAUAGAUGAUCUUGGACACUCUGAAUAUCACACCCAAUGGAGUUACAAGGAAAUACAUGGUAAAGUUGGACAAGGCCAAAUGAAUAUUUUACUAAAACAUCCCACUGGACCUGAUCUCGGAGUAAAGAAAAGAGGCAUUUCUUCCAACUAUGGAAGCACGAAAGCAAACUAGUUCUGGUGUUUGGUUGACUCCUUUGCUUCUAAUUCAAUAGGACAAUGACCUCAUUCCAGCCCUGCUCUAGCCUGGGUUAGUAAUCCUGCUCCCUCAGUGUUUUCCACAGCCAGUUACUCUCCCCACCCCCACCUUUCUAUCUGUACCUGGGCAGUAUCUCCACAUGCAUCCAGCUGUCACUUACACUUAAUCCUUCAGAAAUUCCCACCAACUCUUUGGUUUGCAGUGAGUUUGGUCUGAGGAAAAGUAAAUCACGCAGCCUUGGUGCAAUCCUCAGACCAUGAUUUAAGUCUAUACUAUUUCAGACUCUUACUGAACUUCUGAAACAAAACCUAAAAAAUGAUGAAUUGCUCAACUACAUGUGCUAUAUUAAACCUGUAGUUGGGAGUUCUAUAGUCUUGCCAAAGACUUUAAGGAAACUGUAGCCUGUAUUCUCAUUUUUUUCUCUAUCCUAAGAUGAUUUAUUUGAAUUAAUCUAUAUCCCCUCUCAUAUUCUCUCUAUCAUCAUAGAGUCAUUUAAUCCAAGAUUUGAACCCAAACCAAGACCUUUAUACAAAAUCCCUGAGAGUUGACUUGGUUUUUUUUCUUUUUUCUAGGGCCGCACCCACAGCAUAUGGAGGUUCCCAGGCUAGGGGUCCAAUUUGAGCUGUAGCUGCUGGCCUAUGCCACAGCCACAGCAACGCUGGAUCCGACCUGUGUCUGCGACCUAUACCACAGCUCAUGGCAACACCAGAUCCUUAACCCACUGAGCGAGGCCAGGAAUCGAAACUGCAACCUCAAGGUUCCUAGUAGGAUUCGUUAACCACUAAGCCACGACGGGAACCCUGAGAGUUGACUUUUACAAUCUACUCAAACAUCUUCACUGCAUGGAACUCACUUCUUUGUGAAGUUUGCUACUUCAGUUUUGGACAGGUCAAUUUAUGGACAGCUGUCCUUCAUGAUGAACUGAAAUUUAUCUUAUCAUUGGCACCCAUCAUUCCUAGAAUUAAAUGAGACAGUACGUACAGAAAUUUUUUUUGAAGCAGCAAAGCCCUGAAUGAAUGUAAAGUAUAUUAAUAUCAAUUCUACCAUGUCAACUUUGAAUCUUAUCCAAGCCAUUGGAAUAGGCAAAUAUGAGAAUGAGGCCAAAGAUACCCCACACAGGUUUGUGAAAAGCUCCUUUCAGUUUCACAUUAGCCCACUAAUCAAUGUUCUUUAAACACUUCUAUUUAAGCAGUAAAAUACAAGGGUCAGGCUAAGUUGAGACCUAGAAAAUAGAAACAAAGCCAAAAUGAGGAAAAAACCAGAACCCAAGACUAAGGCUGACCAAAGACCAGAAGAAGCAGGAAGAGGGUGGUGUGGCUGAAUCACCUCUGUCUUUGACAUCAGUAGAGGUAGUGGUUUUGUUUUUUUCUUCUCUCCUCAUGGUCAAAGACAGCUUCAGAGCACUUGAGACAUCAUUUCAAUUUGACCUACCAAAUAAAACACAGCAUUGGUUGGAAAAGAGUCCUAAG